CAGUAGCCGCGGGAAAACGGAGGGGGCUAGCGUUGUUCGGAAUUACUGAGCGUAAAGCGCACGUAGGCGGCUUGGUAAGUUAGAGGUGAAAGCCUGGAGCUCAACUCCAGAAUUGCCUUUAAGACUGCCGAGCUAGCAGGUGAGAGAGGUAAGUGGAAUUCCGAGUGUAGAGGUGAAAUUCGUAGAUAUUCGGAAGAACACCAGUGGCGAAGGCGGCUUACUGGCUCAUACUGGACGCUGAGGUGCGAAAGCGUGGGGAGCAAACAGGAUUAGAUACCCCCGUAGUCCCUGUCUCUUAUAC
rnacentral:rRNA from 1 species